GUUAUUGACCACUGGGAUGAAGGUCUGCCGAAAGAAUAAUUUUCUUUUUCUUUGUUUAAAUUAAUAAAUAAAUAAAAAAGUUUAUUUUUUCUAGAUAGACGAUAAGACCCUAAAACCUUUAACGAGGACCCAAACCUCUUUUUGCUGGGGCGGCAAAUUAUAACUCCAUAAUUUAUAAAAACAUAAUGAAUGAAUAUUUAAACAUCUUAAAUUAAAUCCAAAAAGGUACUUUAGGGAUAACAGCAUAAUUUUUAUAUAGAGUUACUUAUCGACAUAAAAGAUUAUGACCUCGAUGUUGAAUUGAUAAUACUUUAUUAAGCAGUUAUAAUAAUAUGUAGGUCUGUUCGACCUUUAAAUUAUCACAUGAUCUGAGUUCAAACCGGA
rnacentral:rRNA from 1 species